AUCAACUUUCGAUGGUAGGAUAGAGGCCUACCAUGGUGGUAACGGGUAACGGGGUGUUAGGGCACGACACCGGAGAGGGAGCCUGAGAAACGGCUACCACAUCCAAGGAUGGCAGCAGGCGCGCAAAUUACCCAAUCCCGACACGGGGAGGUAGUGACAAUAAAUAACAAUACAGGGUUCUUUUGGAUCUUGUAAUUGGAAUGAGUACAAUUUAAAUCUCUUAACGAGGAACAAUUGGAGGGCAAGUCUGGUGCCAGCAGCCGCGGUAAUUCCAGCUCCAAUAGCGUAUAUUAAAGUUGUUGCAGUUAAAAAGCUCGUAGUUGAAUUUUGGGCCUGGCUGGGUGGUCUUGCCGAAAGGUAAGCACUGCUCUGGUCGGGUCUUUCCUUCUGGGGAACCAGCGUGCUCUUAAUUGAGUGCGUUGGGGAUCCAGGACUUUUACUUUGAAAAAAUUAGAGUGUUUAAAGCAGGCUUACGCUUGAAUACAUUAGCAUGGAAUAAUAGAAUAGGACUUUGGUUCUAUUUUGUUGGUUUCUAGGAUCGAUGUAAUGAUUAAUAGGGAUAGUUGGGGGCAUUAGUAUUCAAUUGUCAGAGGUGAAAUUCUUGGAUUUAUUGAAGACUAACUACUGCGAAAGCAUUUGCCAAGGAUGUUUUCAUUAAUCAAGAACGAAAGUUAGGGGAUCGAAGACGAUCAGAUACCGUCGUAGUCUUAACCAUAAACUAUGCCGACUAGGGAUCGGAUGAUGUUAAUUUUUUAAUGACUCAUUCGGCGCCUUACGGGAAACCAAAGUGUUUGGGUUC
rnacentral:rRNA from 1 species